UGAGCAAUCUGCCCUUCUCAUCGGAAUAACCAUUGGAAACGAUGGCUAAUGCCGAAUAUGACCUCGGAUCACAUGUUCUGAGGUGGAAAGCUCCGGCGGAGAAGGAUGAGCUCGCGGCCUAUCAGCUUGUUGGUGAGGUAAUGGCUCACCAAGGCAUUGACGGGUAGCCGGCCUGAGAGGGUGACCCGGCCACACUGGGACUGAGACACGGCAGA
rnacentral:rRNA from 1 species